rnacentral:tRNA from 1 species
GGCGACGUAGCUCAGGUGGUUAGAGCAGCGGAAUCAUAAUCCGAAGGUCCGGGGUUCAAGUCCCUGCGUCGCUACCA